UGCUAUAUUCUAUGUUGACGGAACCUUUCUACUGUGUGCAAUUAGUGUUAGUUUCAUUCUCAUUGCACACAAUAGUGGGGCUUUAUUACAUAACCAUAUCA
rnacentral:pre_miRNA from 1 species